rnacentral:rRNA from 1 species
AGAGUUUGAUCCUGGCUCAGAUUGAACGCUGGCGGCAUGCUUUACACAUGCAAGUCGAACGGCAGCGCGGGGGCAACCCUGGCGGCGAGCGGCGGACGGGUGAGUAAGGCAUCGGAAUCUGCCCUGAUGUGGGGGAUAACGUAGGGAAACUUACGCUAAUACCGCAUAAGCUCUGAGGAGGAAAGCGGGGGACCGAAAGGCCUCGCGCUGAAGGAGCGGCCGAUGUCCGAUUAGCUAGUUGGUGAGGUAAAGGCUUACCAAGGCGACGAUCGGUAGCUGGUCUGAGAGGAUGAUCAGCCACACUGGGACUGAGACACGGCCCAGACUCCUACGGGAGGCGAC